rnacentral:misc_RNA from 1 species
AACGCACGAGACCUGCGGACCUGCGGAGGGAUCAUUACCGAGUUCAUGCCCUCACGGGUAGAUCUCCCACCCUUGUGUAUUCUAUGUUUGUGUUGCUUUGGCAGGCCGUGGGCCUCGCCCACCACCGGCUCUCGGGCUGGUGUGCGCCUGCCAGAGGACUCUUUAAACUCUGUUUGUUAGUGUCGUCUGAGUAUGAUAACAAUCGUUAAAACUUUCAACAAUGGAUCUCUAGAUCGGAAG